rnacentral:rRNA from 1 species
GACGAACGCUGGCGGCGUGCUUAACACAUGCAAGUCGAACGGAAAGGCCCUGCUUUUGUGGGGUGCUCGAGUGGCGAACGGGUGAGUAACACGUGAGUAACCUGCCCUUGACUUUGGGAUAACUUCAGGAAACUGGGGCUAAUACCGGAUAGGAGCUCCUGCUGCAUGGGGGGGGUUGGAAAGUUUCGGCGGUUGGGGAUGUACUCGCGGCUUAUCAGCUUGUUGGUGGGGUAGUGGCUUACCAAGGCUUUGACGGGUAGCCGGCCUGAGAGGGUGACCGGCCACAUUGGGACUGAGAUGCGGCCCAGACUCCUACGGGAGGCAGCAGUGGGGAAUAUUGCACAAUGGGCGGAAGCCUGAUGCAGCAACGCCGCGUGCGGGAUGACGGCCUUCGGGUUGUAAACCGCUUUCGCCUGUGACGAAGCGUGAGUGACGGUAAUGGGUAAAGAAGCACCGGCUAACUACGU